rnacentral:tRNA from 1 species
AAAAUCCGUCGAUUUU